rnacentral:rRNA from 1 species
UUUAAUGCCUUCNNCNUGCCNAAUCAUGCAAGUCGAGCGCAGGAAGCAUCACGAUCUCUUCGGAGUGAAUGAUGUGGAAUGAGCGGCGGACGGGUGAGUAACACGUGGGCAACCUGCCCUGGAGACUGGGAUAACUUCGGGAAACCGAAGCUAAUACCGGAUAAUCAAAGGAACCGCAUGGUUCCCUUGUAAAAGUUGGGUUUUACCUAACACUACAGGAUGGGCCCGCGGCGCAUUAGCUAGUUGGUAAGGUAAUGGCUUACCAAGGCGACUAUGCGUAGCCGACCUGAUAGGGUGAUCGGCCACACUGGGACUGAGACACGGCCCAGACUCCUACGGGAGGCAGCAAUAGGGAAUCAUCCGCAAUGGGCGAAAGCCUGACGGUGCAAUGCCGCGUGAACGAUGAAGGUCUUCGGAUCGUAAAGUUCUGUUAUGAGGGAAGAACAAGUGCCGCACGAAUAGACCGGCACCUUGACGGUCCUUCGAGAAACCCCGGCUAACUACGUGCCANCAGCCCCGG